rnacentral:rRNA from 1 species
UACGAAGGGGGCUAGCGUUGUUCGGAAUUACUGGGCGUAAAGGGCGCGCAGGCGGCCCUUCAAGUCAGGCGUGAAAGCCCAGAGCUCAACUCUGGAACUGCCCUUGAAACUGUAUGGCUUGAGUAUGAGAGAGGUGAGUGGAAUUCCCAGUGUAGAGGUGAAAUUCGUAGAUAUUGGGAAGAACACCGGUGGCGAAGGCGGCUCACUGGCUCAUUACUGACGCUCAGGCGCGACAGCGUGGGGAUCAAACAGG